CAAUGCCAGGGCCAGGGUUAAAGAGCAUUCCCCAAAGUUACCAGAAAGGUUCCCCAUCCUUAUAUACUCCCGCUGAGGUUUGGAAAGAGACAAGACGCCCCUAGGAGAGAGAUGCUCCUCCUGACGCAGGCUCUGGGAUGCUGCCGUGCUUGCUAGACCGAAAGCUCACCCCCUCGAGAGAACAGGUGGCCCGUCCUCUGCCCAGAAAGCACCCGUCCUAUCUGCCCUGCAGAUCUUAAUUCUAUAACAAAAAUGUUUGCAAGGCUCCAGGAAGUGCCAUCUUUGUGCUAAGAAAACAGCCGCUAUCAAGGUCUUGUGGGGCAUUUGUGCUAAAGACAGAAUCAGGCGGCUGUAACCACUCGAUCUGCUACAAUCUGUGCAGCUGGUAGGGGUCCGGGCAGAGACAGAUGCAUCGUGGAG